UAGGGAAUCUUCGGCAAUGGACGAAAGUCUGACCGAGCAACGCCGCGUGAGUGAAGAAGGUUUUCGGAUCGUAAAACUCUGUUGUUAGAGAAGAACAAGGACGUUAGUAACUGAACGUCCCCUGACGGUAUCUAACCAGAAAGCCACGGCUAACUACGUGCCAGCAGCCGCGGUAAUACGUAGGUGGCAAGCGUUGUCCGGAUUUAUUGGGCGUAAAGCGAGCGCAGGCGGUUUCUUAAGUCUGAUGUGAAAGCCCCCGGCUCAACCGGGGAGGGUCAUUGGAAACUGGGGGAGUUGAGUGCAGAAGAGGGGAGUGGAAUUCCAUGUGUAGCGGUGAAAUGCGUAGAUAUAUGGAGGAACACCAGUGGCGAAGGCGGCUCUCUGGUCUGUAACUGACGCUGAGGCUCGAAAGCGUGGGGAGCAAACAGG
rnacentral:rRNA from 1 species